GUAGAGCACUGAAUUUUUGCGGGGGCGUCAAAGCUUACCAAUGAAUAUCAAACUGCGAAUGCCAUACAGAUGAUGAUUAGGAGUCAGACUACACGAGAUAAGUUGGGUAGUCGAAAGGGAAAGAGCCCAGAUCUACGGCUAAGGUCCCAAAGUGAGUGUUAAGUGGAAAAGGAUGUAGGAUUUCAUAGACAACUAGGAUGUUGGCUUAGAAGCAGCCAUACAUUAAAAGAGUGCGUAAUAGCUCACUAGUCGAGAGGUUCUGCGCCGAAAAUGUCCGGGGCUAAAACACUACACCGAAGCCAAGGGAUGACGAAAGUCAUCGGUAGAGGAGCAAUCUUACCGACGUAGAAGCCAUACCGAAAGGAGUGGUGGAGAAGUAAGAAGAGAGAAUGCCGGAAUGAGUAGCGAGAGUGAGGUGAGAAUCCUCACGGCCAAAUACCCAAGGAUUCCAGAGUAAAGCUGAUCUGCUCUGGGUAAGUCGGGACCUAAGGCGAGGGAGAAAUCCGUAGUCGAUGGACAUCAGGUAUAUAAUCCUGAACUGCAUAUAAUCAGAAAUGUGGGGACACAGAGACUUAAGUCGAACCCGGGAGAGCAAAGACCGGGAUAAGCGAGGUAGCAGGUGGUAGGAAAAACCGCCACGAAAUGCGAAUGCGUGAUAUGUAGCGAAGAAAAGUAGCGAAGUCGAAUAGGGAGCUGUCAAGAAAAGCCGCUAUAGCGUUAUAUGUACCCGUACCGAAAACCGACACAGGUGGGUGAGGAGAGAAUCCUAAGGCCGGCGGGAGAAGCAUUGUUAAGGAACUCGGCAAAAUGACCCCGUAACUUCGGGAGAAGGGGUACCGAAAGGUCACAGAAAAAAGGCUCAAGCAACUGUUUAGCAAAAACACAGGUCUAUGCGAAACCGAAAGGUGAAGUAUAUGGGCUGACGCCUGCCCGGUGCUGGAAGGUUAAGAGGAGAGGUCAGGCAACGAAGCUUUGAAUCUAAGCCCCAGUAAACGGCGGCCGUAACUAUAACGGUCCUAAGGUAGCGAAAUUCCUUGUCGGGUAAGUUCCGACCCGCACGAAAGGCGUAAUGAUUUGAGCGCUGUCUCAACAAUGCACCCGGUGAAAUUGAAGUACCAGUGAAGAUGCUGGUUACCUGCGCCAGGACGGAAAGACCCCAUGGAGCUUUACUCUAGUUUGAUACUGGGGUUUGAUGAUGCAUGUACAGGAUAGGUGGGAGACUAUGAAGCGAGGACGCCAGUUUUCGCGGAGUCACUGUUGGGAUACCACCCUUGUAUCAUUGAAUUUCUAACCCGUGGCCGUAAGCCGGUCAGGGGACAAUGUCAGAUGGGGAGUUUGACUGGGGCGGUCGCCUCCGAAAGAGUAUCGGAGGCGCUCAAAGGUUCCCUCAGAAUGGUUGGAAACCAUUCGAAGAGCGCAAAGGCAGAAGGGAGCUUGACUGCGACACCGACGGGUGGAGCAGGUACGAAAG
rnacentral:rRNA from 1 species